GCGCUCUCUAGGGCAGCACGGGUACGAAAACUGGAACGAUACAGAGAAGAUUAUCAUGGCCCCUGCCCAAGGGUGACAUGCAGGCUCCUGAAGCGUUCCAUAUUUUU